rnacentral:rRNA from 1 species
UACGGGGGGGGCAAGCGUUGUUCGGAAUUACUGGGCGUAAAGGGUUUGUAGGUGGCUUGCUAAGUCAGACGUGAAAUCCCUCAGCUUAACUGGGGAACUGCGUCUGAGAUUGGCAAGCUCGAGUGCAGGAGAGGAACGCGGAAUUCCAGGUGUAGCGGUGAAAUGCGUAGAUAUCUGGAGGAACACCGGUGGCGAAGGCGGCGUUCUGGACUGCAACUGACACUGAAAAACGAAAGCCAGGGGAGCAAACGGG